rnacentral:rRNA from 1 species
GAUAAACGCUAGCGGCAGGCUUAACACAUGCAAGUCGAGGGGCAGCAUAGAUUGUAGCAAUACAAUUGGUGGCGACCGGCGCACGGGUGCGUAACGCGUAUGCAACCUACCCGUCACAGGGGGAUAAUCCGGAGAAAUCUGGUCUAAUACCCCAUAACAUAUGGAUCGGCAUAGGUUCAUGUUGAAAUUUUCGGAGGUGACGGAUGGGCAUGCGUAGCAUUAGCUUGUUGGUGAGGUGACGGCUCACCAAGGCGACGAUGCUUAGGGGGACUGAGAGGUUUUCCCCCCACACUGGUACUGAGACACGGACCAGACUCCUACGGGAGGCAGCAGUGAGGAAUAUUGGUCAAUGGGCGCAAGCCUGAACCAGCCAUGCCGCGUGCAGGAUGACGGCUCUAUGAGUUGUAAACUGCUUUUGUACGAGGGUAAAGUGGGUUACGUGUAACCUUUUGAGAGUAUCGUACGAAUAAGGAUCGGCUAACUCCGUGCCAGCCGCCGCCGUAA